rnacentral:rRNA from 1 species
GCUUAUCACCAUUCCAGAUUGAAUAUACCCGAUCUCGUUUGAUCUCGGAAGUCAAGCAAUCUCGGGCUUGGUUAAUACUUGGAUGGGUGACCGCUUGGGAAUACCAAGUGUGAUAAGCA